GGUUCGACUCGAGCGAAGCGAGAGAACGUUGCGCCAGCAACGGCCCGCAGGGCGAGCCACGAAGUGGCGAGUAAUCCUCUGGCACCGACCA
rnacentral:sRNA from 1 species